rnacentral:tRNA from 1 species
CAAGAUAUAGCUUAAACUAAAGCACCUAGUUUACACCUAGAAGAUUUCAUACACCCACGGAUAUCUUGA